GUCUAUGGCCAUACCACCCUGAACGUGCCCUAUCUCAUCUGAUCUUGGAAACUAAGCAGGGUCAGGCCUGGUUACUACUUGGAUGGGAGAAAAUGAAAACUGAUUAUUGUAUCAA
rnacentral:rRNA from 1 species